rnacentral:lncRNA from 1 species
CGAUAUUCCAUUGGCGACAUUUACUUGAUCUUCAGGAACAUCCUCCGUAGACUUUGGGGAGAUCUUGUAGGUACCGUUGCCGAAGUAGUCGUAUCUACAUGCAAUGCGACAUCACAUUCAAAGCGUGCAUACAAAACUAUUUUAUUUCGCAGCAAAGUUGUAAUCCAGCACUCAUAUAACACACUAUUCACAUAACAACCAAAAAGAUCUGAACCAAACCUAGAUAGAGCUUUAGGGGGACAACUAACUAGAAUCGGCUGCUCGUUGAAGAUCACAGCAGAGCUGAUUGGAAACAACGGGGGUUUAGCUGAUGGAAAGAUACAUCGGGUUUCUAGACGAUUGAUGAAAACAUUGAUUACUUCAGCAGAGGGAUGAUUCCUAAAGCAGUCGUGUCCUAACUGAGAUGUGCUUAAGGGUUAUUCUAGGUAACUAAGUGUGGUUGCAUCGGCUCGAUUACGUCAGCACAACAAUUGAGCGACGCAUAGCCGAUUGGAGUGCGGUUAAGGGUAUAUGACCGAUAAGUAUAAAGUCGACCUCUCAGUUGAUAGAUCGACUGAUAGAAGUGUGUGGAUAUGGAUG